rnacentral:lncRNA from 1 species
AAUCAGGUUACUUGGUGGACAAGCAAUUCAUGGCAACAAUUAAUUUUCCACCCCUUCCCUCCGUUCCCUUCCCUUUCCAUUCCUGCGUAAAAUCAACAACCCAACAAAUAAGACAAAACUUUUACCCCCAAACUGAAAAAGUAAACACACAGCAAAAGGUGAAAAAGAAAAUUACUUAACCCUGGAAAUGAAAUUCGCAUGCUCUGUCAUUUUCGGAGACAAUCCUUCUGUACUCCCAUCCUAUCAUCCACUGGUAAGAUGACACGUGGCGAGGAGAUGCUCUAAAUGGUUAGAUGUUGCUUUCAAUAAAAGGACCAAACCGCCGAAAAUACGGCGGUUGCCGGCGAUUUUCUGUCGGCUUUUAUUCGUAGGUCUGGUGGCCUCCGGGUUCCGCAGUAAACACGCUUUUUGGUGUAGGUAGGAUUUGCAGGUUACUAGAAGAGGCUGGAAGGCGAAUGAAAAGCGUCUUUUUCCCGAGUUAAUUGCUUUAAUGGUAAAUUGAAGAAAGCGUGAAAAGCCGAGUUUUGCAUUGGACUCCGACAAGACGGUGGCUUCAAUGCUUCAUGCAAAACAUGUAGGCUGCAAG